rnacentral:rRNA from 1 species
UGGGGAAUAUUGGGCAAUGGACGAAAGUCUGACCCAGCAAUGCCGCGUGUAUGAUGAAGGCGUUAUGCGUUGUAAAGUACUUUUAGCAGGGACGAUAAUGACGGUACCUGCAGAAUAAGCACCGACUAACUAUGUGCCAGCAGUCGCGGUAAUACAUAGGGUGCUAGCGUUACUCGGAUUUACUGGGCGUAAAGCGUGCGUAGGCGGCUGAUUAAGUCGGAUGUGAAAUCCCUGAGCUUAACUUAGGAAUUGCAUUCGAUACUGGUCGGCUAGAGUAUGGGAGAGGAUGGUAGAAUUCCAGGUGUAGCGGUGAAAUGCGUAGAGAUCUGGAGGAAUACCGAUGGCGAAGGCAGCCAUCUGGCCUAAUACUGACGCUGAGGUACGAAAGCAUGGGGAGCAA